GUGAAUCAUCGAAUUUUUGAACGCAAAUUGCACUCCCUGGUAUUCCGGGGAGUAUGCCUGUUUGAGGGUCGUUAGAAAAAAAAUCGACCUGUCGCUCUUUUCUUUAAGGGUGAUGGCAUCGGAAUUGAGCCGUCUUUCCAAUGUUAAUUCAUGUCAAAGUCGCUUAAAAUUCAUCCAUCAGGUACGAUUAAAGCGUAUUGAAGAU
rnacentral:misc_RNA from 1 species